GACGAACGCUGGCGGCGUGCUUAACACAUGCAAGUCGAACGAGGAUAUUUCAGAGGAGAGCUUCGGCAGGAAUCAGGGAUAUUCGAGUGGCGGACGGGUGAGUAACGCGUGAGCAACCUGUCCCAGACAGGGGGAUAACACUUGGAAACAGGUGCUAAUACCGCAUAAGACCACGGUAUCACAUGGUACAGAGGUAAAAGGAGCAAUCCGGUUUGGGGUGGGCUCGCGUCCGAUUAGAUAGUUGGUGAGGUAACGGCCCACCAAGUCAACGAUCGGUAGCCGACCUGAGAGGGUGAUCGGCCACAUUGGAACUGAGAGACGGUCCAAACUCCUACGGGAGGCAGCAGUGGGGAAUAUUGGGCAAUGGGCGAAAGCCUGACCCAGCAACGCCGCGUGAGUGAAGAAGGCCUUCGGGUUGUAAAGCUCUGUUAUAGUGACGAAGGAAGUGAC
rnacentral:rRNA from 1 species